rnacentral:rRNA from 1 species
AGUGGCGAACGGGUGAGUAACGCGUGAGGAACCUGCCUCAAAGAGGGGGACAACAGUUGGAAACGACUGCUAAUACCGCAUAAGCCCACAGCUCGGCAUCGAGCAGAGGGAAAAGGAGUGAUCCGCUUUGAGAUGGCCUCGCGUCCGAUUAGCUAGUUGGUGAGGUAAUGGCCCACCAAGGCGACGAUCGGUAGCCGGACUGAGAGGUUGAACGGCCACAUUGGGACUGAGACACGGCCCAGACUCCUACGGGAGGCAGCAGUGGGGAAUAUUGCACAACGGGGGAAACCCUGAUGCAGCGACGCCGCGUGGAGGAAGAAGGUCUUCGGAUUGUAAACUCCUGUUGUUGAGGAAGAUAAUGACGGUACUCAACAAGGAAGUGACGGCUAACUACGUGCCAGCAGCCGCGGUAAAACGUAGGUCACAAGCGUUGUCCGGAAUUACUGGGUGUAAAGGGAGCGCAGGCGGGAGAACAAGUUGGAAGUGAAAUCCAUGGGCUCAACCCAUGAACUGCUUUCAAAACUGUUUUUCUUGAGUAGUGCAGAGGUAGGCGGAAUUCCCGGUGUAGCGGUGGAAUGCGUAGAUAUCGGGAGGAACACCAGUGGCGAAGGCGGCCUACUGGGCACCAACUGACGCUG